rnacentral:tRNA from 1 species
GGACGCCGUCCGGACGGCCUCCGAUCUGCUUUGCAAGCAGGGGGUCGUGGGUUCGAUUCCCAUCGUCUCCACCA